GCUGAUUGGUCUUGGGGGCGGGGCUCCGGAAAGAGCCCCGGCUUCUCGCGGAGCGACAUAGGUCUCGUGAUGGCGAGCUGCGCCUGCGCCCGAGCGCCUUGACCGCUUCGAAGUGUGGCCGCGGGAGACUCGUGAUGGCGGUGCUCGAGAAAUAAGUCCCGAAGCGCAAUGCGCAUGUGCUUACCCGCCCCGCCUCCCAGCUUCUGGGUCACGAAUUAAAGGGACAGUGUCUGAUCAAUUACCACUCUGGAGCCGGAAGAAACUUUAUCCCCAGCUUCGUGCCCAACCCCCUCGUUUUUACAGUUAAAGACUUGGUUCUGAGCAGGGUUUGCCUCAGCUGUCCCAGAGGUACAGGAAACACGCCAAAGGGUGAAGAAUCCCUCCUCUGGUCCGACUGCUUCAUUUUGCAGAUGAGGAAACUGAGGCCCAGAGAGUCACCUCAGGCCACCCAGCCAGUGAUUUAGUAGAAAAGCAAGAUGAGAACUCCGGAGAAGGAAUUCCUUUCAAUAGCCUCCAUUUCCAGGGUCAGGCAGUGUGACCGUAUCCUGAGGAUCUUGGAGCCAGCAGGACGCACACUAGGGCAUCUGCUCAUUUCAUCAACAUCCCCGCUAAGGCCCUUGCUCCAAAGAGACGCCCCAGAGGUGCCUUGGCUGGGCAGUGAGGGGGCCUGGGACUCCUACCAGGUCUCAGGGUCCGGAGAGUCAUGGAUAUGACAAGGCCAUCUGUGCAAUGUUAGUUCAUGUAUGAAAACAUGUUUCUCAUAUUUAACCACAGCCCUUUGUAACUAGGAUGGAGCUUUUGAGUUAAUGAAUGAAUAAAUGUGUAAGAAGGGGCAUUA